AGUGAACGCUGGCGGUAGGCCUAACACAUGCAAGUCGAACGGCAGCACAGUAAGAGCUUGCUCUUACGGGUGGCGAGUGGCGGACGGGUGAGGAAUACAUCGGAAUCUACUUUUUCGUGGGGGAUAACGUAGGGAAACUUACGCUAAUACCGCAUACGACCUACGGGUGAAAGCAGGGGAUCUUCGGACCUUGCGCGAUUGAAUGAGCCGAUGUCGGAUUAGCUAGUUGGCGGGGUAAAGGCCCACCAAGGCGACGAUCCGUAGCUGGUCUGAGAGGAUGAUCCGCCACACUGAAACUGAGACACGGCCCAGACCCCUACGGGAGGCAGCAGGGGGAAAUAUGGGAAAAGGGGCGAAAGCCUGAUCCAGCCAUCCCGCGUGGGUGAAGAGGGCCUUCGGGUUGUAAAGCCCUUUUGUGGGGAAAGAAAAGCAGCAGGUUAAAACCCCGCUGUUCUGACGGUACCAAAAGAAUAAGCACCGGCUAAUUUCGU
rnacentral:rRNA from 1 species